CUGUAGAUUGAAAGAACCUAGUGGGGAAACCCCUACUCAACUCCCGAUUUGGCGUGCACCCAAGAAUCACGAACAGAACA
rnacentral:pre_miRNA from 7 species